GUAACAAUUUACUGUUGAUGGACACAGCAAGGUGAGAAUUUUGAGAUUCAAACAGCGGAUAAUACAAGCCAAAGUUUUCUUUCUGUGGAAAAGUUGAUGCGCCUUUUAAGAAGUGAACAACCAAGUUAUUUGCCUGGAAAAGUCUCCUGAAAUACUGAAGUUAUGCUAAAGAAGGAGAAGAGAAAGGAAGCUGCAGUCCCUGUAUAACUCCUAAAUUUUUAAUUUGGAGUUCCUCUUCUUCGGUGCAACAAUCUUUCUGCAUGCACAGAUCCAUGUGGCACUCAUCUCAUCAUUCUGAGGGAAGAAAGAUGCAUAGGGAAUGUUGCAUGUGGUUAUUUCUAUUUCUCUCAAGUGCACAUUAUCCAUCAAGAAGAUUUAAAUCAUUUUGAAAUAUUAAUAUAAUGAUCAAAAAUUAACUUUUAUACAUGUUAUUAGGCAGAACCCACAGAAAACAAUAAAGCACGAGAGAAAAGAGGAUGGCAGUUUACCCAGGAAACAUAGGUUGUGCAAAGCUUUGCAAUGAUACUCUCAAUUCAGAGCAAUGAAGAACAGAAUGCUGUCUUCCCAUAAUGAUGGCAUUCAAUUAUCACUAGACUUACAAGACUACAGAAAAUUUCUCAAGAACCAGUAAGGAUCAGACAGAGCCAAUGACAAUACUGAAGAAGCUUGCCAGUGGAGAAUGAAAGCUCAGUUACACAAAUUACGUUGUUGAACCAGUGCCAGAAAUAAAAUGUGAUGGACAAACUCAUUAAUUAUGAGCGUGAACCAGACAAAACUGAGAAUAAGGUGGGAAUUCCUUCAUAAUCUGUCCCUACUUAGUUGCACCAUAACCAUAAAUAUUGUAAGAGGCAAAAGAGUGGUAAAAAGCUCAUUAACACUGAGAUUAUUCUUGUUAAUUCAUCUGAAUGAGACCUUAACGUACAAAAUAACUUGAAUUACAGAAAAUGUUGAAAAGUUGUAUUUCUUGCACAUCUAAGAUUGAGAGGGAGAUAUAUGUGUGAAUUGUCACGAAAGGCCAUCUUCAAGAUAUCACAAUCAAUCUGUAGAUUAAGGUCAGCCAAUAUAAUAUUCCAACCUGAACCUUUGAAAACUGAACAGGAGUGAGUAUAAUAAUCUCUAGAAAAGCAUCAGUUAAGAUUCUAGCUUGGCCAUCUCCAUCAUCUGUGUCCUUUAUUUCUAAUAACCUUCAAGUUUUCUAUAUAUGACAUUAUCUUUCCAGUCUCCUCGGAAAAAUUGCUCUUCACUUCAAUUAGUUUGAAUCAGUUUAUUUUGCUUUCCACCAAGAGCUGAAAUUUUUCUAAACCUGCACACUCACUUAUGAAGUCCCUAGAGAUUACACGUUACUUGUGUUCCUUAGUCUUCAUUCCUUGUUCUUAUCCUGUUUACUCUUCUAUGCAUCAAUUCUGUGAGAGGCAAAACCAAUUUUUAUGUGUGUAAAAGGGAAAAAAACAUAUGUGCAUAACUAAUGACUUCUGAAAUUUAUUAUGACAAGAACCCUCCCACUCAGAAGAAUUAUGAAGGCUUGUUGUAAAAAAUAAGAAAAUAAGUCUUUGAUAAUGACAGACAACAAUUAGGUUGCUUGGACUUCAGAAUUUUAUUCUAAAUAAACCUUCUAAACUGAACUUACUACCCCAAA
ensembl:lncRNA LINC02237 long intergenic non-protein coding RNA 2237